CAUAACGCGUGAGAAUCUGUCUUCAGGUCGGGGACAACCACUGGAAACGGUGGCUAAUACCGGAUGUGCCGAAAGGUGAAAGGCUUGCUGCCGGAAGAUGAGCUCGCGUCUGAUUAGCUAGUUGGUAGAGUAAGAGCCUACCAAGGCGACGAUCAGUAGCUGGUCUGAGAGGACGAUCAGCCACACUGGGACUGAGACACGGCCCAGACUCCUACGGGAGGCAGCAGUGGGGAAUUUUCCGCAAUGGGCGAAAGCCUGACGGAGCAAUACCGCGUGAGGGAGGAAGGCUCUUGGGUUGUAAACCUCUUUUCUCAGGGAAGAAAAAAAUGACGGUACCUGAGGAAUAAGCAUCGGCUAACUCCGUGCCAGCAGCCGCGGUAAUACGGAGGAUGCAAGCGUUAUCCGGAAUGAUUGGGCGUAAAGCGUCCGCAGGUGGCAAUGUAAGUCUGCUGUUAAAGAGCAAGGCUCAACCUUGUAAAAGCAGUGGAAACUACAUAGCUAGAGUACGUUCGGGGCAGAGGGAAUUCCUGGUGUAGCGGUGAAAUGCGUAGAGAUCAGGAAGAACAC
rnacentral:rRNA from 1 species